rnacentral:rRNA from 1 species
AUUGAACGCUGGCGGCAGGCUUAACACAUGCAAGUCGAGCGAGCCGCGGACGUGUGAGUAAUGUCUGGGCCACUGCCUGGUGGAUGGGGAUCACUACUGGAAACGGUAGCUACUACCGCAUACAUCAGCUUUGCCCAGAGGGGAUUAGCUAGUAGGUGGGGUAAUGGCUCACCUAGGCGACGAUCCCUAGCUGGUCUGAGAGGAUGACCAGCCACACUGGAACUGAGACACGGUCCAGACUCCUACGGGAGGCAGCAGUGGGGAAUAUUGCACAAUGGGCGAAAGCCUGAUGCAGCCAUGCCGCGUGUGUGAAGAAGGCCUUCGGGUUGUAAAGCACUUUCAGCGAGGAGGCGUUACCCGCAGAAGAAGCACCGGCUAACUCCGUGCCAGCAGCCGCGGUAAUUC